rnacentral:rRNA from 1 species
AUUGAACGCUGGCGGCAUGCCUUACACAUGCAAGUCGAACGGCAGCACGGGGGCAACCCUGGUGGCGAGUGGCGAACGGGUGAGUAAUGCAUCGGAACGUGCCCCGUAGCGGGGGAUAACCAGUCGAAAGACUGGCUAAUACCGCAUACGCUCCACGGAGGAAAGCAGGGGAUCGCAAGACCUUGCACUAUGGGAGCGGCCGAUGCCCGAUUAGCUAGUUGGUGAGGUAAAGGCUCACCAAGGCGACGAUCGGUAGCUGGUUUGAGAGAACGACCAGCCACACUGGGACUGAGACACGGCCCAGACUCCUACGGGAGGCAGCAGUGGGGAAUUUUGGACGAUGGCGCAAGCCUGAUCCAGCCAUGCCGCGUGCGGGAUGAAGGCCU